UACGUAGGGGGCAAGCGUUGUCCGGAUUUAUUGGGCGUAAAGAGCGUGUAGGCGGUUUGGUAGGUCCGCUGUGAAAACUCGAGGCUCAACCUCGAGACGCCGGUGGAAACCAUCAGACUAGAGUCCGGAAGAGGAGAGUGGAAUUCCUGGUGUAGCGGUGAAAUGCGCAGAUAUCAGGAGGAACACCAGUGGCGAAGGCGGCACUCUGGGCCGGUACUGACGCUGAGGCGCGAAAGCGUGGGGAGCAAACAGG
rnacentral:rRNA from 1 species